AUUCCCCGUGACCUCUCUCUCUCCUGAAAUAAAUCGCUUUAUCUCAAAUGCUCCCCCCCAAAUCCCUUGACCUUCUCUCUCUCUCCCCCAAAUCUAUUUCUUCUCCACUAAAAUCCCCAAUUCCCUGCAGCUCAUCUCUCUCCUCGUCCUUAAAAUCUUCAUCGGAGCCGUCUAAAGCCGCGAGAGAGAACGCCGUCAGCCGCCGCCUUCGCCUGCUCUCGAGAUCCGUCGCCUUCUCUCGAGAUCCGUCGACUUCGCCUGCAAUAGAGCCGUCGUCAGCCGCCGCGAGACUGCUCUGCAACAGCGCCGGGUCGCCGCCGUUCCACAAUCACAGCAGCAAGCGUUCUUUCAUCAAGAGUUCGGAAUGGAGUCAGAAAAUUCAACUACUGUAGAGUUCGGAAUGGGAGAAUCAAGCAUCAUCGGAAGUGGAAUGGGAGAAUCAAACUAAAUUCUCGGUGAUGAUUCAAAUUUUCUCGGUAAUGAAGGGCUUAAUAUUUUUGAGCUAUCUUGUAAAAUCCGAGUGAAUAACAUCAAUGGUGGUUGGUUGGAACAUAGGUUGAGCAUUCUCUUUUAUGCAGCUAUCUUGUAAUGUGAUUUGGGCUUAUAUUCAGCUACUUUGGUUGUAACUUUGGAGGUUAAGUCUUUCUUUGAUGAAACUCUGUUUGAUGUUGUAACUCAUGAUGUAACUCUGUUUGAUGCUUGUAGCUUUGCUGUAGCUCAUAUUCAGCUAGCUAUAGCUCAAUUCUCUUUUAUGCAGCUAUCUUGUAAUGUGAUUUGAGCUUAUAUGCAGCUAUCUUGUAAUGAUUAUUCAGCUACUUUGGUUGCAUCUGUUUCUUGUGAUU